rnacentral:misc_RNA from 1 species
GAGAAAUCAUGGUUUCUUUGCACGGUAUCUCUCCCAAUAGUUUACUUAGCUUUUUACCAAACCAGAUAAAACUGAUCUGGAAUCCAUUACAUCAGUAAAAUAACAAAAAGAAAUACACUUUUAGGUCAUUAAACAGAAGCCUAAGUGCCUAGAAAAAAAUUCCUACUCUGAACAGUUUUCUUUGAGAAACAGAGAACAUAGGAAUGGUUUUUAAUCUUUUAGAACUUAAAAUAGAGAGAUCAGGACGUCUGAUGCAAGUGCACAAUUUGCACGACAAUGUUAGAUUUUACAGAGAUGCUUCUUCAUUGUGCAUCUUGUGGGACAAAUCCCUGAUGCAUAAAAUGUAGGGACUAAAUUCAGUAAAAUGGCUACUGAUAAUGCUUAUGGUUUAAUGAUUUCAAGCCAUAGGCAGGCUUUGUUUAGUGUCCUUCCUGCCAAUUGCCUGUUCCUUUUUUGAUCUUAUCUUUGUUUUCAUUCUUGCCCUUUUACAUACAUCCAUAGACACCCACAUUAACAGGGACAAUCUGUGUGUGUGUGUGUGUAUUGAAUAAACUUUCUGAAAUUGAAUAGGCUUGUGUGAUUAAUGCAAUAUGGUAUAUGAGCAAUAAGGCAACCAAGGGUGGUAGGAAAGUAAUUGCUCAAAGAAUAGCAAAAGGUUUGUGUGUGUGUGUGUGUGUGC